AUUGAACGCUGGCGGCAGGCCUAACACAUGCAAGUCGAACGAGUGGCGGACGGGUGAGUAAUGUCUGGGAAACUGCCUGAUGGGGGGGGAUAACUACUGGAAACGGUAGCUAAUACCGCAUACCAUCAGAUGUGCCCACAUGGGAUUAGCUCGUUGGUGGGGUAACGGCUCACAAAGGCGACGGUCCCUAGCUGGUCUGAGAGGAUGACCAGCCAAACUGGAAAUGGGACACGGUCCAGGCUCCUACGGGAGGCAGCAGUGGGGAAUAGUGCACAAUGGGGGCAAGCCUGAUGCAGCCAUGCCGCGUGUAUGAAGAAGGCCUUCGGGUUGUAAAGUACGUUCAGCGGGGAGGCGUUACCCGCAGAAGAAGCACCGGCUAACUCCGUGACAGUCGCCGCGGUAAUAC
rnacentral:rRNA from 1 species